ACGAACGCUGGCGGCAGGCUUAACACAUGCAAGUCGAGCGCAUCCUUCGGGGUGAGCGGCGGACGGGUGAGUAACGCGUGGGAACGUGCCCUCUUCUACGGAAUAGCCUCGGGAAACUGAGAGUAAUGCCGUAUACGCCCGCAAGGGGAAAGAUUUAUCGGAGGAGGAUCGGCCCGCGUUGGAUUAGGUAGUUGGUGGGGUAACGGCCUACCAAGCCGACGAUCCAUAGCUGGUUUGAGAGGAUGAUCAGCCACACUGGGACUGAGACACGGCCCAGACUCCUACGGGAGGCAGCAGUGGGGAAUCUUGGACAAUGGGGGCAACCCUGAUCCAGCCAUGCCGCGUGAUCGAUGAAGGCCUUAGAGUUGUAAAGAUCUUUCAGCUGGGAAGAUAAUGACGGUACCAGCAGAAGAAGCCCCGGCUAACUCCGUG
rnacentral:rRNA from 1 species